GACGAACGCUGGCGGCGUGCCUAAUACAUGCAAGUAGAACGCUGAAGAGAGGAGCUUGCUCUUCUUGGAUGAAUUGCGAACGGGUGAGUAACGCGUAGGUAACCUGCCUGGUAGCGGGGGAUAACUAUUGGAAACGAUAGCUAAUACCGCAUGAAAUGGAUUAUCGCAUGAUAAUCGAUUGAAAGGUGCAAAUGCAUCACUACCAGAUGGACCUGCGUUGUAUUAGCUAGUUGGUGAGGUAACGGCUCACCAAGGCAACGAUACAUAGCCGACCUGAGAGGGUGAUCGGCCACACUGGGACUGAGACACGGCCCAGACUCCUACGGGAGGCAGCAGUAGGGAAUCUUCGGCAAUGGACGGAAGUCUGACCGAGCAACGCCCCGUGAGUGAAGAAGGUUUUCGGAUCGUAAAGCUCUGUUGUAAGAGAAGAACGAGUGUGAGAGUGGAAAGUUCACACUGUGACG
rnacentral:rRNA from 1 species